rnacentral:rRNA from 1 species
CUUAGUACGGCGAGUGAAGCGGUAAAAGCUCAAAUUUGAAAUCUGGUACUUUCAGUGCCCGAGUUGUAAUUUGUAGAAUUUGUCUUUGAUUAGGUCCUUGUCUAUGUUCCUUGGAACAGGACGUCAUAGAGGGUGAGAAUCCCGUUUGGCGAGGAUACCUUUUCUCUGUAAGACUUUUUCGAAGAGUCGAGUUGUUUGGGAAUGCAGCUCAAAGUGGGUGGUAAAUUCCAUCUAAAGCUAAAUAUUGGCGAGAGACCGAUAGCGAACAAGUACAGUGAUGGAAAGAUGAAAAGAACUUUGAAAAGAGAGUGAAAAAGUACGUGAAAUUGUUGAAAGGGAAGGGCAUUUGAUCAGACAUGGUGUUUUUUGCAUGCACUCGCCUCUCGUGGGCUUGGGCCUCUCAAAAAUUUCACUGGGCCAACAUCAAUUCUGGCAGCAGGAUAAAUCAUUAAGAAUGUAGCUACUUCGGUAGUGUUAUAGCUUUUUGGAAUACUGUUAGCCGGGAUUGAGGACUGCGCUUCGGCAAGGAUGUUGGCAUAAUGGUUAAAUGCCGCCCGUC